CAAGAAGAGUUUAGAAACACAGAAAUUGCUAACUAUCUGAUGCGUAGUUAAAUUCCACGAUCUUCUU
rnacentral:tRNA from 1 species